GAUCAUGGCUCAGGAUGAACGCUAGCUACAGGCUUAACACAUGCAAGUCGAGGGGCAUCAUGAACUUAGCUUGCUAAGUUUGAUGGCGACCGGCGCACGGGUGAGUAACACGUAUCCAACCUUCCGUUUACUCAGGGAUAGCCUUUCGAAAGAAAGAUUAAUACCUGAUAGUAUGGUGAGAUUGCAUGAUAGCACCAUUAAAGAUUUAUUGGUAAACGAUGGGGAUGCGUUCCU
rnacentral:rRNA from 1 species